rnacentral:tRNA from 1 species
CGGGCCGGUGGACCAGCGCCGGGUCAUGUGGCUGCCGAUCACCGAAGCGCCGCCGGUCGGGGCGGUGCGGCCCGC